GUGUGUGUGUGUGUGUGUGUGUGUGUGUGUUUGCCGUUUGAGGAACAAGACAGGCAGAACAGGGCCGACGACAGCAGGCGGACGCCAGCCCAAAGAGGUCCUGUGAGGAAAGUCAACAGAAGAAUAACACAACAAGCUGAAGAUACAGGCAGGGAAAGUGAACAUGAGUGCGAGUAUGUCUACAGGUUUUCUCACGAGAGACGUCAGUCUGGAGAGAACAGUGCGCUGAAUCCAGCUGCUCCGCCCUUGGUUCCUGAUCUUGAAGUGGGAGCAGAACCACUGGAACAAGAGGCGAGUGAAGCUGAACUACAAGAGACAGUGGACCUGGACCUAUACCGGAAGAAGAAGAUGCUCCAUCCCCCGAAAGAGAUGACCAACCAGACCCGGCGCAAGCAUCUGGUGGACAUCUUGAUCCGCAACCUGUGAAUACCUACCCACAUGAGGAACUAGCUAACCCACCUAUGACCUAUGAGGAAGUAGGUAAAUUGGAGGUGGAAGCAGGCAUGAACAAUCUGCAGAUGAACUAGGUUCCAUCUGCAGAUUGGUUCCAUCAUAUCACACUUUGUGGUGCCCCGGGACAGGGAAGAACAUUGAGGUACAAGGCUGAAUGAAGAUACACACAUAAGCACAUAAAGAAAAAAGAUCUAGAGUGCUUUAGUAAAAUAUGGAUAUCGUUCUGAUGGAUAUCUGAACCUAGAGUUAAAAGAGGUAGAGGCCUACAGGGGAUCCAAGUCAUGGAAUUACCAGGGACAGGUAAACUAAAGUAAGGGAAUAGUUGUGUGGGGCUGACAGGUAUACAUUGGGCCUUUGUUACCAGUGAAUGCUCAACCUGAUGGUGAUCAGGUGACUUACUUUCACCUCAAAGGGGAUUAUGUGUUACGUCAAUUGUGGUAUUGCAGCAAUGCUUCAAUUACUUAAAGAAUGUACUUUGAGGAAGUGGGAGAAAAGUGCCAGGUGAACCCGUGGAUAGUGAUGUAUAUUAACGUGCAGUAAUGUCAUGGACAUUUUAAUUUGAUGGGGACAGUGUGGCACCCUGGGUACAGGAUAGUUGGCUAAAGAGGGAAAUGGGUGCGAGUAUGUGGUGUUCUGUGCUGAGCUCAACCAGUUUCGUGUUAGGUUUGUUCGUAAACGCACCAGCCACUCCACUAGGGGGCAGCAGCAGCGCUAUGUUUUGUACCGCCAGAGCUCUGAGAGGCAGAACCAUCGCGAGACUUCUGAGUGAAAGACGUGAAUUGCAAGCUGUUGCCGGAAACGGAAUGUAUUCUGUUUUUUUAUAGCAGAUCCCAGACACCAUUUCAAUCAAGGUUGAAGAGGAUAUUGGUGGAUGCACGCCCUCUGUAGAAGACUGCAAUGGCAUUAGCGCUGCACACAGCGCAGCGCCACCUCAGAGAGUCUGCAUGUGGACGCCCCUGGCUCCUCCCACAUGUCCGGUCACAAUGGGGAGCUGCGUAUCCUGAGUGUCUACGGAAAAGGGGAGGGCCCACUGGCGCUGGACGGCCAUGACACCCUCUUCACUGUGUGCAAACUGGAGGCCUUGAGCUCGCUUUCUGCGGACCACAGCGUGGCCAAGAGCCUGGAGCGUGGCCACGAGCCUGGAGCGUGGCCACGAGCGGCUCGUCCACCUUGAGGAGCUGAGUGGGCAUCGGGGGGGCCGCAAGGGCCGGCCUUAUGUCUUGUUUGGUCAAGGUUUUCCCGACGAUACCAAGACAACCAUCCACAUGCGUACCCACACAGGCGAGAAGCCGUACUGGUGCGACCAAUGCAUGAAGCGCUUUCAAAACAAAGCCAACCGGAAGACCCACAUGAGGACUCACUCCGGGGAGAAGCCCUACGGGUGCGAGAAAUGCAUGAAGGGCUUCAGCCAGAACUGCAGCCUGAAGGUCCACAUGAGGACUCACUCUGGGGAGAAGCCCCGUGUGUGUCUGCAAUGCAACGGCAGCUUCGGUGACCCGAGCAGUUUGCGUGUGCACAUGCUCAAGCACACGGGCAACGGGGUGCUUGGACACUGGGCAACGAGACACUUUGAUUGACAACUCUGCCCAGGGUGUUCCCCUUGGGCAGAGUGACGUCCUACGUAGUGGUCUUCACGGACGCCUCGUUGACGGGUUGGGGAGGGACGUGCCUCUCACACUCAGUCGGAGGCGAGUGGCACAUUCCACAGCACACAUUCCUGCCGUCCUAUUUUUUUAACCCAAGAAUUAUAUUCGGGGCUGAUUAAACACAGGGUCUGUGAUUAGGAUGUCUGCGUUCAGGGCCUAAUCGACCAGGUAAACACGCGUCCUGCCGUCCUCCUCCGAGCUCAAUACAUUCAUGAUCCAAAAUCUGACCGCAGCUGACCUCAGAUCUGGUGAACUGGGCUUUUAUUUCCUUCACUUCAUACGUUUCGACCAAUCCUGUUGCUGGAGGCAGAGUUAUUUGCAGACAAACUAGACCAGAACCAUGAACAUUUUAAAAUGUAAAAACAGACAUUUCUGUAUAAUUAAGGUGUAUGACAGCUCCCUCUGCUGGACAGUCUCACACCAAACUACAUUUUCCGUUUGAACCAACGUAGCUAUAGUACAUUGAUGUGAGACGGGUUGGUGGAUUGAACGUGUUGUACUAGCAGAGAAUGGCCUGCGGGGCAGUAUGUACAUUGUUAAAUACAUGAAUAGGCCUGAAUUUAGUAGUAAUAUGGAGGUUUCAUAUUUUUACAAAAUGGAUCAUGUGAACAUUGCAGAAUAGCAAUCAUGUAUAUUAAAUGUAUUGCAGGAGUUUAGCUUGACAUUAACCAAGUUAAAGGACAAUUAAAUGAACCGCAACAAACAUGUAGAAGUCAAUGUGGGAUUUUAAUAUAUAA